GGGGAGAGCAACAGCGUGAGAGGAGCUGGGGGGGAGGAGCAGUAGCCGCUACUGGGGCGGCGGCGGCUGUAGCAUCCCUAGCAUCUGUAGCAGCAGCAACAACAACGACAACAACAACAAUCCGGUCUCCAUGACAACGAUGUAGCUCUUCCCAACUGCAGGGCCUGAUCAGCUGCACGGUGCCAGGGCGCGACUGUAGGGCUAGGGACCUGGAGGGCAAACAAUGCAUCCCUCCUAGCCAGAGGGGUUCCUCCGGAGCGGGUCGGAGAAGCUUGGCGUGCAAGUUGAGGGCGAUGGGGAGGGACGAGGUUCUUCUACCUCUCACCUGUCUCCCAGACUUCUUUGGAUCCUUUUUUCCACCUCCUUCCUCUCUCCUCUCCAGAGUCCUUCGCCACUUUUAAUGAAACUCUGCCAGACUCUUCUCUCGUACCUUCUCCCAUAGUGGUGCUGAUCGGACACAUUUAUUUUGUGAAUAUCUGGGAUGCCCCUCUCAUGUUUGAUUGAAAAGUCAAAACCAAGGUCUGCCUAGAGUAGUUUCAGCUACUGCCCCUCAGAGCCACUGCUGGAGUGAUUUUUGCCUGACCUUAUGCCUGGAGGAGGAGGCUAAUUUUCUGGAUCUGAUUUUUCCCAAUGACAAUUGAAGCAACAUGCUUUGAAGUCUUCCUACAAGAAAUAGUCCAGCAUAUGUGCCUGUUUCCACUCCAUUUCUCUCUUACCCACUUGAGGACAGUUUGAAUCAUUUUUUAAAGACCUCAGUACUAGACUGUGUUUUAGGUAAUUUGAAUUUUAUCUUUCAUUUUUCCACUCAUGGUUUCCUCUACCCUUUGUACUUAGUCUCUCAGAGAGUCUAGCACAUGGCAAAGUUCACAUUACCUCACCUUUCUUAUGGCCCUGGCCAAGAGCCAUAUUGCAGAGCCUAGAUAUAGAGAAGUCCUAGAAAUAGAAAACUUGUUUUGUCCUAGGUGUUUGAAUUGGUUAGUAAGAAAAAGCUACUCAUGUACAUUAUUUUGUAUAUUAAAAUAUCUGUAAUUUAAAAACUCUAA